AGUCUGGACUGCAGCACAAUGUGCAAUGCAGCUUCUUUAACGAAUUCCCAGUGGCAAUCUCACUCCCCCAUCCCUUCUCUUCUUCUAGAUUUUAUUCUCAUAGAUCUGCAUAAGUAUCAUCGCUGUGUUUGCAAUUUCCAUUCUCUCUCUCCAGUCACACAAGCACAGCGCAGGAGUCAGCUCAGGUAAUGUCUGAGGAGGCAGUGGAAUAUCAUAUGCUGGAAACCCUGGAAGAUCUGGGGCAGAAGGGGUCUCGGCGUUCAAGUUCACACUGAAUACAAUCAAAGUAGAAGGUGGUUAUAACUCAGCUUUCUGGGACAUACUGGAAACAGCAACGCCUGUGGAUGUCACCAAUGAGAGGAUCUACUACUAUAGGAAAGCCUAUGAUCAGAAGAUAGUCAUGGAGGUGCUGAAAGCCAUCAACCUGAGGGAUCUAUCGGAGAGACUCAUCGAUGCAGCAAAGGCUGAUGGUUUAACUCCAGUGCCAGAACUUCAGCAACCCCCAAAGCCAGGGGACAAAGACCGUCCCAAAGGUACUUCC